rnacentral:rRNA from 1 species
UACGGGGGGGGCAAGCGUUGUUCGGAAUUACUGGGCGUAAAGGGCUCGUAGGCGGCCAACUAAGUCAGACGUGAAAUCCCUCGGCUUAACCGGGGAACUGCCUCUGAUACUGGAUGGCUUGAGAUUGGGAGAGGGAUGCGGAAUUCCAGGUGUAGCGGUGAAAUGCGCAGAUAUCAGGAGGAACACCGGUGGCGAAGGCGGGUCUCUGGGCCGAUACUGACGCUGAGGAGCGAAAGCGUGGGGAGCGAAUGGG